ACGACGGCGUACUUUUUGUAGAACGGUCCGGCGAGUUGCAGUGACAUGCGAGGUUAAGGAGUACAGCUCCGGAGCCGAAGGGAAACCAAGUCUUAACUGGGCGUCUAGUAUGUUAAUGCAGACCCGAAACCGGGUGACCUAUCCAUGGGCAGGUUGAAGUUACCGUAAAAGGUAAUGGAGGACCGAACUCACAUCUGUUGAAAAAGGUGGAGAUGACCUGUGGAUAGCGGAGAAAUUCCAAUCGAACUCGGAGAUAGCUGGUUCUCCUCGAAAUAGCUUUAGGGCUAGCCUUGAGGUAAAGUCUAAUGGAGGUAAAGCACUGAUUGGACGCGGGUCCCCAAAAGGAUACCAACUUCUAUCAAACUCAGAAUGCCAUAUAGAUAUACUCAGGAGUCAGACUAUGUGAGAUAAGUUUCAUAGUCAAAAGGGAAAGAGCCCAGACCGACAGCUAAGGUCCCAAAGUGUGUGUUAAGUGGAAAAGGAUGUUAGGUUUCUAAGACAACUAGGAUGUUGGCUCAGAAGCAGCCACUCAUUUAAAGAGUGCGUAACAGCUCACUAGUCGAGAGGUCUAGCGCCGAAAAUGUCCGGGGCUAAAACACACCACCGAAGCUACGGAAUUACCUAUGGUAAUUGGUAGAGGAGCAUUCUGUAAGGAUGAAGCACAAUUGAAAGAGAGUGUGGACGAAACAGAAGAGAGAAUGCCGGAAUGAGUAGCGAGAUAUAUGUGAGAAUCAUAUAGGUCGAAUGUCUAAGGUUUCCUGGGUAAAGCUGAUCUGCUCAGGGUAAGUCGGGACCUAAGGUGAGGGCGAGAGCCGUAAUCGAUGGACAACAGGUAGAAAUUCCUGUACUACGUAUAAUCAGAACUGUGGGGACGCAGGAGGAUAGGAAAACCGGAGAAUGGAAAUAUCCGGCUAAGUACAAAGGUGUGAGUGAUAGGCAAAUCCGUCACUAUUAGCUGAAGUACGAAUGGGAGCGAAGAAAAGUAGCGAAGUUUCUGAAUCCACACUGUCAAGAAAAGCCGCUAUUGCGUUAUACGUACCCGUACCGCAAACCGACACAGGUAGACGAGGAGAAAAUCCACAGACCGACGGGAGAAGUGUUGUUAAGGAACUCGGCAAAAUGACCCCGUAACUUAGGGAUAAGGGGAGCCAACGCAAGUUGGUCACAGAAAAGAGGCUCAAGCGACUGUUUAGCAAAAACAUAGGUCUAUGCGAAACCGUAAGGUGAUGUAUAUGGGCUGACACCUGCCCGGUGCUGGAAGGUCAAAAGGAGAGGUUAGCGUAAGCGAAGCUUUGAAUUCAAGCCCCAGUAAACGGCGGCCGUAACUAUAACGGUCCUAAGGUAGCGAAAUUCCUUGUCAGGUAAGUUCUGACCCGC
rnacentral:rRNA from 1 species